GACGAACGCUGGCGGCGUGCUUAACACAUGCAAGUCGAGCGAUGAAGUUCCUUCGGGAAUGGAUUAGCGGCGGACGGGUGAGUAACACGUGGGUAACCUGCCUCAUAGAGGGGAAUAGCCUUUCGAAAGGAAGAUUAAUACCGCAUAAGAUUGUAGUGCCGCAUGGUACAGCAAUUAAAGGAGUAAUCCGCUAUGAGAUGGACCCGCGUCGCAUUAGCUAGUUGGUGAGGUAACGGCUCACCAAGGCGGCGAUGCGUAGCCGACCUGAGAGGGUGAUCGGCCACAUUGGGACUGAGACACGGCCCAGACUCCUACGGGAGGCAGCAGUGGGGAAUAUUGCACAAUGGGGGAAACCCUGAUGCAGCAACGCCGCGUGAGUGAUGACGGUCUUCGGAUUGUAAAGCUCUGUCUUCAGGGACGAUAAUGACGGUACCUGAGGAGGAAGCCACGGCUAACUACGUGCCAGCCGCCGCGGUAA
rnacentral:rRNA from 1 species